ensembl:miRNA
GCAUGGUGUGGUGGGGCAGCUGGUGUUGUGAAUCAGGCCGUUGCCAAUCAGAGAACGGCUACUUCACAACACCAGGGCCGCACCACACUACAGG